AGAGUUUGAUCCUGGCUCAGGAUGAACGCUGGCGGCGUGGAUAAGGCAUGCAAGUCGAGUGGGUUUAGGCCCACGGCAAACGGGUUCGGAAUACAUAGGAAUUUGCCUCAGAGUCGUGAAUAAUUCGGAGAAAUCCGAGCUAAUACACGAUACGCUCUACGGAGUAAAGAUUUAUCGCUUUGAGAUGAGCCUGUGUCCUAUCAGCUUGUUGGUGAGGUAAAAGCCCACCAAGGCUAUGACGGGUAGGGGGUGUGAGAGCAUGACCCCCAACAUUGGAACUGAGACACUGUCCAAACACCUACGGGUGGCUGCAGUCGAGAAUAUUCCACAAUGGACGAAAGUCUGAUGGAGCGACGCCGCGUGCGGGAUGAAGGCCCUCGGGUUGUAAACCGCUUUUUUCAGGGAGCAAUUUCGAUGAGAGUACCUGAAGAAUAAGAGGUUACUAACUCUGUGCCAGCAGUAGCGGUAAUACAGAGACCUCAAGCGUUAUCCGGAUUUAUUGGGCGUAAAGCGCAGGUAGGCGGGUUUAUUAGUCGGAUGUCAAAGACCGGGGCUCAACUCCGGGAAGGCAUUCGAAACGGUAUACCUCGAGAAUGUGAGAGAUGAGUGGAAUUCAUGGUGUAGUAGUGAAAUGCGUUGAUAUCAUGAGGAACACCGAAGGCGAAGGCAACUCAUUGGCACAUUUCUGACGCUGAGCUGCGAAAGCGUGGGGAGCGAAUGGGAUUAGAUACCCCAGUAGUCCACGCUGUAAACGAUGCAUACUAGGUGCAGGGAGAAUCGACCCUUUCUGUGCCGUAGCUAACGCGUUAAGUAUGCCGCCUGGGAAGUACGAGCGCAAGCUUAAAACUCAAAGGAAUAGACGGGGAUCCGCACAAGUGGUGGAGCAUGUGGUUUAAUUCGACGGUAAGCGAGGCACCUCACCAGGGUUUGAAAUCUAGCUGCAGGGCCCAGAAAUGGGACGUCCUUCGAGGGUGCUAGACCAGGUGCUGCAUGGUUGUCGUCAGCUCGUGUCGUAAGAUGUUCCGUUCAGUCGGGAAACGAGCGCAACCCUCAUGAAGUGUUACAUGUGUCACUUCAGACUGCCCCCUCAAAAGGGGAGAAUACUCAGUUUCGUAUUCUCAAUUUUUGAGGGGGAGGAAGGCGAGGAUGACGUCAAAUCAGCAUGGCCCUUUGACACCCUGGGCGACACACGUGCUACAAUGGCCGAUAAUAAAGGGUUGCCAACCAGCGAUGGGGAGCUAAUCUCAAAAACUCGGUCUCAGUUCGGAUUGCAGGCUGCAACUCGCCUGCAUGAAGCUGGAAUCACUAGUAAUCGUGAAUCAGCCACGUCACGGUGAAUGCGUUCUCGGAUCUUGUACUCACCGCCCGUCACACCAAGAGAGCCGGCAAUACCAGAAGGCCCCGGGUUAAAUCGGGGACGACGGUAGGGUUGGUAAUAAGGGUGAAGUCGUAACAAGGCAUCCGUAGCGGAAGCUGUGGAUG
rnacentral:rRNA from 1 species